AACUGAUUAGAAGCUUGCUUCUAUGACGUUAGCGGCGGACGGGUGAGUAACACGUGGGCAACCUGCCUGUAAGACUGGGAUAACUUCGGGAAACCGAAGCUAAUACCGGAUAGGAUCUUCUCCUUCAUGGGAGAUGAUUGAAAGAUGGUUUCGGCUAUCACUUACAGAUGGGCCCGCGGUGCAUUAGCUAGUUGGUGAGGUAACGGCUCACCAAGGCAACGAUGCAUAGCCGACCUGAGAGGGUGAUCGGCCACACUGGGACUGAGACACGGCCCAG
rnacentral:rRNA from 1 species